rnacentral:lncRNA from 1 species
UAAGAUUAGCAUAGGGGAAGGCUUCAUCUGAUGAUUCUGAUCGAGUUUAGAGACGAGUCUGACUUUAAGCGAGAUUUUGAUUUUGGGAUUUGUUAGAUUUAAUUUUGAAUUAAAAUUAAUAUAAAAAUAUAAUUUUGGAUAAUAGGCACGGAAGAAUCUCCUAGAAGUUAGUCGAUCCGUUCAUUCAGUGCUCCAUGAAAGGUAAGUAAUGAAUCAUCUUCUCGAGAUAUUUCAUAUUUAUUCUGAAAAUAAAUAAUUAUUCUUUGAAAUUAUGCAUGAUUUAUGAAAUUAUGUUUUGAAAGAAAAGUGCUUUUGAAAUGUUAUGGUAUAUCAAUUUAUGCACAUAUUUAGUGAAAGAUUAUGAUAUAUAUUGUGGUACAAAAUGUUUUGAUACAGAUCGGAUUUAUGCUCUCAGCCUAACUAUGUUUCAGUGGGCCCCGCCAAUGGGGAUUAUACGUUGGUACUCAGUGGACCCUGCCAGUGGGGGUUGUGCGCUGGUGUUUGUGGACCCUGCCAGUGGGGGUUGUGCGCUUGUAUUUGUGGACCCUGCCAGUGGGGGUUGUGCACUGGUAUCAUGUGGACCCCGUCAAUGGAGGUUAAACGUUGGUCAUAGUCAAGGCUGUUG